GGCGGAUUUCUUUUGUGGACCUUUGAAAGUGUCUGGACAGGGAAGGACUGGUUUUCAGCUGGGUAGGCUUCUGUCACUGUUGAAGCAAGAAGAUGAAGCAGCGUCCUGUGAAACAGCAGAGUGCCCUGAGGAAGGAAGCUGAAACAUGAAUAGGGCUGUCAUCCCAUACAAGUUGCCUCUUGGCAAGGCUGUGAAGGUAAGAUGUUGGAUGCAUUUUGUUGCAGAUAGAAUCGUUCUUUCUCUCCUGUUUCAAAAUUCCUCAUAGACAGAUCAGCUGGUCAAGCUUCCAUGUCUCAUCUUGACUUUGAAGACAGUCACCAUCUUUGACUGCUGAAUUUCUGAGUAAAAAAUAAUAUAUCGCCAAAAAGAAAACUGCAAACCAACAAGCCCUGCAUCACAAUUGGUAGUGACUGCCACACAAGGAGAUGGUGUAUAGAAGAUGAAGAAAAAAAAAGCAACAACAAAUGAGAUGGUUUCACUUCUUCCUUAGGGAGAACAACAAGAAUUUACAGACAUAGAAGAAGCACCACUCCUAGUACCACAGAUGCUCUAACAAGGACUCAGGUGUAUCACUUGCUUCAUGUUUUUGAACAGAUUGCUAACUGUAUUCUAAACCUGAACCACCUACUGAAGACCUGCAGGAAAAAAAAAAAAAAAAAAAAAGUGGAAGAAUUGUGGAUAUCCUAAUUUGAGAGGAGGUUAUAGCACAAUAUUAUUAAGAUCAAACUGCCUCUUGCCUCAAAUCAAGAAGAAAACCACUCUUCUUUGACUAAAGCCAGCUCCAGCUCUGAAGAAAAGCAGCAUGGCUUGCCUGACACUCUUGGUACAGAAGCUUCUCCAGCAGAGGUUCCUGCCAAUGAGAGACGAGAUCAGCUCACAUCAGAGGGAGGUCACUGGAUUCCUUGAAAAGAAGAGGUGGCUGUGCGUGUCUUCCUGUCCCUAUGCUUUCCUAAGCUACAGGGUAGCACUGAUCUUCCUCAGCAAGUUCAGUGCCUUGAAGCAACAGGAUCCCUGCCAGCCCACCAGGAUAGUGACAUCUGUGCUCCUGCAUACCAGUGUUUGGGAAGUAGGCAUGAUACCUGACAUCCAGCACAGUCAGGAACGAGCCAAAUCAAGAUGGGAAGGAGAGAAACUCUGGAUCUAUAGAGUAAGUAGCCUUAGUUGUUCCAUGUAUGCCUGGCUAAUCUGUCAGUAUUAAGGAAGACACUUGAAUGUUGAAGGAAAACAGAAAGCAAAGAAAAAAUCCCAGUGUCCAAGCGCAUUCUCUUGUAUGCUAUAUGAACAUAUAGUGGGAUUGCCUGGGAUUGGCCUCCCUGGAGGUAUUCAAGGCCAGAUUGGAUAUGGCCUGCCCACAGCAGGGAGUUGGGUCUCAAUAAUCUUUAAGGUCUCUUCCAACCUAGACUAUUCUAUGAUUCUAUGGUUCCAUGUAAAUCAUAGUAUUUUGUAGAAGUUUGUUUUUUCACCAUUUAUGGGGAAAAUUCAAGGUACUGUUCUCAUAAUGAUGAAAUAUUUCACAAUUAUGAGUUGCUUAAGGUAUUGUAAAUGAAUGCUAUGAGCUAUGUGUGUGUGAUAUUUGACAUAUUAAGGAUGCACUAUUGCAACACAGAAUGUCAUAUAAAACCAAAGGGAAGUAAUUCAGAGCAAAAUAUUUUAAAUGAUCUUGUACUGAUUUUUUGUGUAUUUUUUUUUCUCUCUCUCUUUUUUUUUUUUUAAGGAUUUACAGUUGCAGGAAAUGAUUUUUCCAGGAGUAGCUCUUAUUCUAACUAGGAAUUAGAAUUAUUGAAAUGUUGAAUGGCCUGCUAACAAAAAUUUCAGUUCCCAGCUGACUCUGUCCACUAGUUUAUCAACAUAUUUUUGGACUCCACUGAAACAAUCCACGGCAAAGACAACAGAUAGCCCUAGGAAUUUGUGCAGGCUAUUGAGUCUUUCCAUUGUGGGCUGCUGGUUCAAAUCCUAGUGGACCUGUAGGGGAACAAGGAAAAGCUGAUACCAUGACUUUAGCUGUGUGGUAUGAGUUUUCCUCCCUGGGUAUAGGUGACAGCAACAGAAUUAGCAUUAAUUAGUCCACUUUGAAAUUUCAGCCAAGGUUUGACAUGGCAAAGUGGGGAAGCCUACUGCGCUGCAGACUGAGCUGUGCUUGCUCUGUGGAUGAAAAUAUAGCUUCCCUUUUCCAGGUCCAGUCCAGGCACUUUUCAUUAAUACUGUCACUGUGAAGCCAUAGGGAAAGCUAAGAGAGCUGCUUAAUAACUAGCAAGAACAAUAGAAGAGUAUCAUCAGACUAGGUAAUUGGUUAGAGAUAGUACCCUGGGAAGACAAGGACUAAAAGCAGUGAACUGCAGCCAGCCACACAAUCCAAGGUAACAGGCAGUGAGCUCUGGAUUAGCAACCAAGGCAACUUUAAUAAUUUAACUGUAGCAUUCACAGUAAUUUAACUAUGCUAUCCAGAACACAAAGCUAAUGGUGAUAUAGUGAAUGCAGGUAAUAUUCAGAAAGUUUGUUAAAUGCCAGUACAUAAAAGAGUCUCCGUGGAGAAGGCCAAUAUUCAGAUUUGUUGCUCUUGUUUUCUUUCUCCUUUUUCUCAGAUAGCAAGCAUUUAGUUUGUGAUAGUUAUUUGCUAGCUAGUAAGGGAAGAUGGGCUGUUUCAGAAGUUCCUAUUGACAGCCAGCUUACAGAGUGUAACAGGCUAACACAUUUUGCUGUCUUUGAAAACUGAAUAACAAAUGUUUUUGCUAUUUACAAGCCAGAAAUGAAUCGAUGGAUCUGAGUUAGAGAGCACACUCCCAAAACAUGCCAACACAUUUCUGCAUGCACUGCUUGCAAACUCUGCCUUCAUCCAAAUUAACAUCCUAAUUUGUGAAGGCUGCAAAAAAAAAAGUAUAAUUCAGAAUACAGAAUUGUUGUAGCUCAAAACAGACUCUCAAAAUUUAUUUUAUAGCUUGCCCACACACAGAGUUCUAGCACUCCACUGCUGAGAAUAAAAUGGUAGAACCUCUCUCUAAGGAUUACACCCACCACUUUAUUGCUGAAGAUGCUAGCCUGAAUAAAAUCCAUGAUCGUGCUCUGUUGCAUUCUCUCACUCUGGGAAGUCAAAUUCUUUUCCAGAAGUGACAGUAUAAAAUGUCUGCUUCUUUUACAACAAUGGUGCUUUGUGUACGUAUUCAUAGGCAGACCUUUUGCUUUAAUGACAAAAAAUGGAUUUUUACAAUCCUUGACUCCCACUAGCAUUGAGGAGUCCAUAAAGUUCGGAAAAAAUGAAUUAGAUUCGAUUGUGACUCACAUGUCCUGAUUGAACCACCGCUGCAAACUCCUACUGCAGCAACAAAUCCUGCUAAUUGUGUUGGGCAAACUAACUACACAGCCUGAGCUGAAGGGAAAAUUUAAACUCCCAAAUAAUACACAUAUUUUUGAAUACAUACUGAGUGCUGCUUUCAAGUUCACAUUGUAGUGGCCUACUGAAUCAGUUCUAGCACAGAUUUGGAGGCCUGUGAAUUCCCUCUGAGCUGGAAACUAUACAGAUCGCAUGUGUUCAUCAGCUGCUGGGGUUAUUUUUCUAAGCACUCUUCAAUGUGAGUGGUAGUGAAAGAUUGUAAAAAUCCAUUUAGUACUUGACUAACUGUAGUUCUAAGCACACACUGAAGAAUAUAAUUUCCAUUGCCACUGAAAGCAUGUGUUUGGAAGAACUGUAUCUAUGAAGCCCACCUGAAUCAUUAAGGUAGUGGUGGGACGGUGAGUGGGGGUGGGAGAGGUAUGCUCAGUUUAUAUGAAAAGAACCAUGUCAGGACAGAUUUUUGCCUAUGAGAAAUGUGUGAGGAAGGAUGUAAAGGGAAAAAAAAAAACAUCUCCAUGACAGUCCUCCCUUCCAGGGACUUUGUCUCUUGGAAGAACCUACUGGAGACAAAGGCAUACUGUGCCUUUGCACAGCUUGGGGGCCUUCACAGCUUUCAUCAUUCUUGCAGCCAUCAACCUGCCUGUAAAGGCUAAUGUUUUGCACUGCACUUGUGUAUUAGCUCUCUGACUGCAAGCCGUCACUUCAAGGAGCUUACACCUCACACCAUGCUUCACGAGCACACCACAGCUGAGUUUCAGUGCUGGAUCUUACUAUUUUAAUUAGAUUGCUAAGUACACUGUGGAUGUUGCUGCUAAACUUAUGUUGACCACAGCAUACACAAAGGUAACCCCGAGCAUCCAGGAUCUAAGAGACAAAAAAAAAUAGUCAGCCCUGUAGUGGGGUUAAAAGGAAGCUAGAUUUGUCUUUGUUCCACAAAGUGUAGCAUAAACUGCAUAAUUAGUCAUUUUGGCCUGAAGCUUUAUCUACAUGACAAUGUAGCACUACUAUUAGUAAUAGCAAUCCAAAGCAUCUUUUCUGAGUUGACAAAAAUUUUAGGUAUGCUAUUUAUAGCAACCAUUGCACACACUGACAUGAGAAAUAAUUGUUACUACAACAUCCCGUUAGUGUUAUUUUUGUAUUCUGUUCCAAUUUGUAUAUAAAUGAAACCUAUGAACAUUUCCUGCACUGACCUCAUGUCUUUGUGUAGAUGGGCUUUAGACCAGAUCCAAGGAAGUGCUAAAUAAUCAUAUAAGCAGCAAGAACAAAUUCAUGGUUGAGCACCAUUAUUCAUCAUGGUGUAAUAUGUGAUCACUGAGCAGGCAGUGGUGAAGAGGAGGCUCAGGGAAGACCUUAGCACUCUGUACAACUCCAUGAAAGGAGGCUGUGGUGAGGUGGGGGUCAGCCUCUUCUCCUGUGUAAGUAGCGAUAGGACUAGAGAGAAUGGUCUCAAGUGCACCCGGGGAGAUUCAGCUUGGUUAUUAGGAAAAAUUUCUUCUCAAAAUGAGUGGUCAGACACUGGAACAGAGUACCCAGGGAGGUGGAGUCACAGUCCAUGGAGGUGCUCAGAAACAUUUAGCUGUGGUACUUAAGGACAUGGUUUAGUGAGAACUAUUGCUGACUAUUGCAGGUAGACGGCUGGACUAUAUCAUCCUGGAGGCCUUUUCCAACCUCAGUGAUUCUAUGAUUCUAUGAACUUUUCCAUGGAUGUGCUUGGAUGAUUUUUCCUUCUCAUUCCUCUUUGUCUCAUCCUCUCUUCUCAUUACUUAUCUUUAAGGAACAGAAACCAGUCUUGACUUGCUACUGAGAAAACUAGGUACAACGAGAUGCCUUCUACUUUUCCCUCUGAGAACCUAUUCUCAAAGCUAAAGAAAUUGGCUCUAAAUUG
ensembl:lncRNA